AAGGGCCCCCAGUGGUGCUCAAGACCAGGCAGCAGAAGGCCAGCAGAGUUCCAGCCGCUCGCAUGGCUGCCCGGGUAGGGACAGUGCGGGGCAGUUGGGGGCAGUGGUUGGUGCCCGUGCCGAGCCUUCUUGGGUAGAUGGCGCAGGGCAGGUGGGGGCAGUGGUCUGUGCCCGUGCCAAUCCUUCUCAGGCAGCACGGG
rnacentral:lncRNA from 1 species